rnacentral:rRNA from 1 species
UACAGAGGGGGCAAGCGUUGUUCGGAAUUACUGGGCGUAAAGGGCGCGUAGGCGGCCUGUUAAGUCGAACGUGAAAUCCCUGGGCUCAACCCAGGAACUGCGUCCGAUACUGGCAGGCUUGAAUUCGGGAGAGGGAUGCGGAAUUCCAGGUGUAGCGGUGAAAUGCGUAGAUAUCUGGAGGAAUACCGGUGGCGAAGGCGGCAUCCUGGACCGAGAUUGACGCUGAACGGCGAAAGCUAGGGGAGCAAACGGG